rnacentral:tRNA from 1 species
GGGGAAUUAGCUCAGUUGGCUAGAGCGCCACGCUUGCACCGUGGAGGUCAAGGGUUCGAAUCCCUUAUUCUCCACCA